GGAUGUCGACACCAAAUUCAACAGUAAUGAUGCCAUCAAUGUAGAUGAACCAUUAGAUAGUGACCCUGAAAUUUUUAAGCAUGGUGUCAAACUCGUAGGAGCCGACAGGAGGACAUACAUCGAUGAUAAGAUGUAUUUCAGACUAGUUUGGUAUGUUCUAAACAAUUGUACAGAAGCUGAGCCAUAUGUGGACAUCUACAGGGCAGAGUUAUUGCAAGAAGGGCCACAUGAUGUUGAAAAAAGGCUUGAAAAUGGUUUUCCUAACUGGUUUAGGAGCCAUAUCGCCAAGAAGCGUACAGAUCGU